AAGGAUCAUUACCAAAUCAAAAAUUCCCCCGCGAGGGGGGGCCCCCGGGUCCGGCUCUUGAGCCCCCGGACGGUUUUCAUUUUACCCACCCCUGUGCACACCCCCCUUUUUAACACUACCCCAGUUACCUGAAUGAACAUACAAACCAAAAGAAAAAUUGUAAAACUUUCAACAACGGAUCUCUUGGCUCUC
rnacentral:misc_RNA from 1 species